CCUACGGGGGGCUGCAGUGGGGAAUAUUGGACAAUGGGGGGAACCCUGAUCCAGCCAUGCCGCGUGUGUGAAGAAGGCCCUCGGGUUGUAAAGCACUUUCAGUGAGGAAGAACGCCUGGUGGUUAAUACCCAUCAGGAAAGACAUCACUCACAGAAGAAGCACCGGCUAACUCCGUGCCAGCAGCCGCGGUAAUACGGAGGGUGCGAGCGUUAAUCGGAAUUACUGGGCGUAAAGCGCGCGUAGGUGGCUUGAUAAGCCGGAUGUGAAAGCCCCGGGCUCAACCUGGGAACGGCAUCCGGAACUGUCAAGCUAGAGUGCAGGAGAGGAAUGUAGAAUUCCCGGUGUAGCGGUGAAAUGCGUAGAGAUCGGGAGGAAUACCAGUGGCGAAGGCGGCCUUCUGGACUGACACUGACGCUGAGGUGCGAAAGCGUGGGUAGCAAACAGGAUUAGAUACCCCGGUAGUC
rnacentral:rRNA from 1 species